CCUACGGGAGGCAGCAGUGGGGAAUAUUGGACAAUGGGCGAAAGCCUGAUCCAGCCAUGCCGCGUGUGUGAAGAAGGCCUUCGGGUUGUAAAGCACUUUCAGUGGGGAAGAAAGCCUUGGGGCUAAUACCCUCGAGGAAGGACAUCACCCACAGAAGAAGCACCGGCUAACUCCGUGCCAGCAGCCGCGGUAAUACGGAGGGUGCGAGCGUUAAUCGGAAUUACUGGGCGUAAAGCGCGCGUAGGCGGUCUGAUAAGCCGGUUGUGAAAGCCCCGGGCUCAACCUGGGAACGGCAUCCGGAACUGUCAGGCUAGAGUGCAGGAGAGGAGGGUAGAAUUCCCGGUGUAGCGGUGAAAUGCGUAGAGAUCGGGAGGAAUACCAGUGGCGAAGGCGGCCUUCUGGACUGACACUGACGCUGAGGUGCGAAAGCGUGGGUAGCAAACAGGAUUAGAUACCCCGGUAGUC
rnacentral:rRNA from 1 species